rnacentral:rRNA from 1 species
UACGAGGGGUGCAAGCGUUGUUCGGAAUUACUGGGCGUAAAGGGAGCGUAGGCGGAGAUUCAAGCGGAUUGUACAAUCCCGGGGCCCAACCCCGGCUCUGCAGUCCGAACUGGAUUUCUUGGAUAGUUCAGGGGCAGGCGGAAUUCCUGGGGGAUCGGGGGAAUGCGUAGAGAUCAGGAAGAACACCGAUGGCGAAGGCAGCCUGCUGGGGACUUAUCGACGCUGAGGCUCGAAAGUGCGGGUAGCAAACAGGAUUAGAUACCCUGGUAGUCCGCACCGUAAACGAUGCAUACUGGGUGUCCGGGGGUUCCCCCGGGUACCGUAGCCAACGCGUUAAGUAUGCCGCCUGGGGAGUACGACCGCAAGGUUGAAACUUAAAGGAAUUGACGGGG